AUCAUAUGCCAAUAUAGAAUUCCAAAGAGGAUGGUAUUGGAAAAUGCAUUGAACUGGAAUGACAACACGAUAGCUGAGGGCUGUAAUCAGCUCAAAAUCAGGCACCACGGUUUGUCACUGUAUUGCAAGACAAUGAGGUUCAAAAAAAAAGAGAGAUGAAAAAUGAAAAUGAAAAUGAAAAAAAUGAAAAGUAAAAUGGAGAGGCUAAGUGGAAAACCCGC
rnacentral:lncRNA from 1 species